GGCGGUAGAUUUAUAUUUAGAGGAGCUUGUUUAAUAAUUGACUUUACUCAUUAAAUUUAACUUUAUAAGGUUUAUUUAUCUCCGUUAUUAGGAUAUUGUUAUUUAUUUAAAUUUUUGGGUUAUAUUUCAGGUCAAGAUGUAACUUUAUAAAGGUAGGAUGAGCUACAUUUUAUUAUAAGUGGAUCAUAGGUUAAAUAAGUGUGAAAAUGGAUUUAGAAGUAUUUUUUUUUAGAAUUAAAGAAUGAAUUUUUUAAUUUAUGUACACAUC
rnacentral:rRNA from 1 species